rnacentral:tRNA from 1 species
GCCUGGGUGGCUCAGUUGGUUGAGCAUCCGACUUCAGCUCAGGUCAUAAUCGCGUGGUCCAUGGGUUCAAGCCCCAUGUCAGGCU